AGCAGCCGCGGUAAUUCCAGCUCCAAUAGCGUAUAUUAAAGUUGCUGCAGUUAAAAAGCUCGUAGUUGAAUUUCGGGACCAAUAUGUCGGUCGUGCCUCGGUACGUACUGGCAUCGUUGGUUUCUCCCUUCUGACGAACCAUGAUGUCAUUUAUUUGGUGUCGUGGGGAAUCAGGACUGUUACUUUGAAAAAAUUAGAGUGUUUAAAGCAGGCUCACGCUUGAAUACAUUAGCAUGGAAUAAUGAAGUAGGACGUUUGAUUCUAUUUUGUUGGUUUCUAGGAUCGACGUAAUGAUUAAUAGGGAUAGUUGGGGGCAUUAGUAUUCAAUUGUCAGAGGUGAAAUUCUUGGAUUUAUUGAAGACUAACUACUGCGAAAGCAUUUGCCAAGGAUGUUUUCAUUAAUCAAGAACGAAAGUUAGGGGAUCGAAGACGAUCAGAUACCGUCGUAGUCUUAACCAUAAACUAUGCCGACUAGGGAUCGGAUGAUGUUAAUUUUUUAAUGACUCAUUCGGCGCCUUAA
rnacentral:rRNA from 1 species